GUGUCAGCAGCCGCGGUAAUACGUAGGGUGCGAGCGUUGUCCGGAAUUAUUGGGCGUAAAGAGCUUGUAGGCGGCUUGUCGCGUCUGCUGUGAAAGCCCGGGGCUUAACCCCGGGUCUGCAGUGGGUACGGACAGGCUAGAGUAUGGUAGGGGAGACUGGAAUUCCUGGUGUAGCGGUGGAAUGCGCAGAUAUCAGGAGGAACACCGAUGGCGAAGGCAGGUCUCUGGGCCAUAACUGACGCUGAGAAGCGAAAGCGUGGGGAGCGAACAGGAUUAGAUACCCCCGUAGUCC
rnacentral:rRNA from 1 species